GCCUUGGUUGUGUAGUGGUCAGCACGCUGGGCUCGCAUUCCAGAGGCCCGUGGUUCGAUUCCCGGCGAGGACG